CAUUUCACUGUCAGUAAUACCCGGUAUUCCAGCUGUCCUUACAAACCACACACACUGCUCCCCUCUUGGCACAUUUUGUGCAGUUUUUCUGCUCUCAAAAAAACCCCCCCAAAACCAGGAAGUUUCCAGUAAACACAUCUAAUGUAAGUGCCUGUGUCAAACAGGGCUUCCUCAGCUUCCCUGCAGCAUGAAGGGAGGUUAUUUUUACAAAGACAUAUGGGCCCUCUCAUCCCUCUCUUUUGUUUAAAUGUACACAGUCCUGGCUUCUGACAGUAGUGAAAUGCUCAAUAACAUCACUGUGAGAAAUGUUUUUAAUGUAUCAAACCAUCCUUGGCAUUAUUAGCAUAGUCACAUAAUUAUCCAUGGAGAAACACCCAUAUGUUAACGCCCAUAAAGUAUUGUGUGAAUCUCUUUUAUACCUUUAUUUUCAGUUUCUGGGAAAGAUACAUCACUGGGUACUUAAUAUAGCAAUUGCUUCAGAAGGUGUAAGCUGCCUAUGCCCGCGGUGAAAUGGUCGGGAGGCAGAGUAGUGCUGGCAGCGUCAUCUGAAAGCUCAGUAAGCCACAGUCUAACUGUGCUCAGAAUGUGAUGCAAGAAUACGAUGCACCUCUUUAAUUUCACAAGAGAUUUCUUAAAAAGACAGGAAUUUAAAAACGAGAAUGAACAGAAACUGAUGGUAGGCUAAGUGUGAAAACACACCUUGUAGGGAACAAAUUCUUCAUAGUACAACAAGGCAGAGAGCCUGAUCUGAAAUUCCAAGCUGGGGUAGCAGUAUCAGUGUUUUCUAGAUAUCCUGAUACCCUGAGUAUCUUAGCCGUAUCUGACACUUUUGUAUUUAGACUGGAUAUACCAGAUUAAAGAUCUAAUCUGCUGAAUUUUCUCAUCAUCCUUACAAAUUUGGCAUGAAGGUAGUAAAAGAAGUUGUGUGUGAACCCAGAAAUUGGUUGUAGCACUUUCAGAUCUUGGCCUCAGACAGCAUAAUCUAACUUCUAAUGCAGACCCAUUGUAUGCUUAUCUUUAGGGUUUUUAAAUUAUUUAUCCCAGUAUUACAAAUAUGUUAUUCUAUGUGUAUGUGAUAUGUUCAUUUUACUAAAACUGUUAAAUACAAAACAUUAGGACAUGAGAAAUAUAUCUCACUUUUUAUAAAUAGUUGUGUUACACUUUUACUCAAGUGAUUUUAGUAAAUCCUUUCGAUUUUAUUUUUUUCAUUUGCCUUUGCUUGACAUUUCUUCCCAAGGUGUCUGGUGACUAUUCUGAUUCUUCUGUAAGAGAGAUAAAAGUAAGGAACAUUCUUCCCCUCCUUUGAUCACUUUGCAGCUUGGGAACUGCAAACCCAUACUCAAAUAUUCAGAGCUUACAGGAGCAGAGCAUAAUAUUUAAUGUUGCAUGCUAAAGUAAAGGCAAUUGCUACAAGUGGUUCACUGUAGUACAGUAGUUCUAGCAUUGCCUAAUUUAUUAAUCAUAGAAAUGUUGCAUGCAAAUUAGCCACAGAGUUGUGCAUCAUAAUACAGUAAUGCAAAAAUCUGUCUUCACAUGUAUUAAUGCUCGUAAAUUAUGGAUAUCACACUACAGCAUUACACAGUUUCCCCAUUACAUUCCAAAACUUGCUGAAAGCUCACUAAAAGCCAUGUUACUGAGUGUUUUCUUUUUGUUCCUUACUUCUGGCUUUCUAAAGUGCGAGAGUAUUUAGCUGCAGGGCAUUUUUGUGUCUUCCUUUUCCCAGGGUUCCUUUUUGGGCUAACAUUCUGCCAGCCAAACAUCAAGAUUUCUCUUGCUAUAGUGCAGUUUAAAAACAUAUUUUUGCUCUGGUAUGAGUAUGGUCAGCACCACUGCCCUCCCCUGCUCUGAAAGCUGCUCCAUUUCACGUCCUGACCUUGUAAAUGCUAGGCACUCUGCAAGGGAAAUCUGCAUCUUUUCCUCUCUUGCUUUCUUAAUGCUCCAAAUAUUUCUUUCAGGAAAGUCAAGGUGAGAAUAAAGGAACUGACAAUGUUGCAUGGAAUAUUUUGCAAAAAAAGACCAUGAAAGAAUUUCUGCACAGCAAAUAGGGAUAGUCUGUGCAGUUGUAUCCCCAGCCACUCACCAACUUGCCCUCCUCUUACUGUCAAAAGAUGGGAAGAAACAGAGAAAUGGGAGCAAAGAGAGUUUGCAGGAAAAAGGGAGAAGAAGGAAUAAGACAACUGAAGAUACAGUCUCCACAGGCUACACUGCGGAGAUAAAAAUGAAAGGCAUAAACUGAAGUGACUUAGCCAAGCAGUACAAAAACAUAAACCAAAACAACACCCGAGAGGAAGUUGCUACCUCUCUGUUACCAAACUACGAGAGGCAAAAACUUUAAUAAAGGAAUAGAUCUGCUGCAACAAAGGAAAUAACAGCAAAAACAGAGACAAGGACACAUCCUAACCCCACUAAUAUCAGCAGGAAUUUGCCUUCAUCUUCAGUGGGAACAGAACUUCAAAGACAUGGGAAUCACCUAUAAAACCUGAAGGAUUUUCUAAGCUUGAGAGACCAGUUUUCAAAAGCUCUUUAGCAAAGUUAUUAUGUUACAAGCAUUACUCUGACAGAAGAAACUGUAAAAGGAUGAUCAGUAAUACUCAGGCACAGUUCUUUGGAAAAGGACAGUGAUCUCAGAAGCAGCACAAGGAAUUCAGCAAAAUACCAGGCUGGAAACAGUAGAUGCUUCUUCAGUACUUUGCCACGAGUAGCUAUUGGAUAAACUUCUGAGAAAGUGUAAUGUAUCAAUUUACAAUUUUGUUGUUCAUAGAAUUUCUAUUUGGGGAAGUAUUCCUGUUUUCUGCACUAGGCACUUGAAACUCCAUCAACCUCCAUUAUAUUUUUUUCCCCAGCUAAUAUACAAUUAAUGCACUAUCUAGUAGUUAUAAUCUACUAACUAACCAGAAGUGCUGACAGACUUGUAGUAAAUCAAACACCCAGUAUUAACAAGGCUGAUCUGGUUAUCAGUUUAAGAUAAUGGCCAGCUGUGCCAUCUUGAUAAAUCCUGUGGGAAGAAGUUAUUGUAAUGUCGGUUAUAACUACAUGGUUACUACUGUGUUGACAUCCAUACAUAAAGCAACUGUGAAAUAAUUUUUUAAACUCUAAUGAGUUUAAAACUCAACAGUCAUAUGUAGCAGACUAGGGAAUUUCCAUAAUUUUUAAAUAAUACAUUUGCAAGGUUUUUUUGCAAGAAUACCGUGUAAAAUGCCUUCUUUUUUAAAAUGCUCUCCUUUGCUUUAUUUUUCCUGAGAUUAUUUAAGUCUUGCGCUGUCAGGCUUCCAAAAGCUUUGCUUCUUUUUCUUUCUCACAUGCACAUAGACACACCUUCUGAGAUGUUUGACACAGACAUUUGAAUGCAUCACUGAUUACUGCUCUUUGCAUGGUACAGCAAGAGGUACACCAGGCUGAACUGCUGCACCUUCAAGAAGGGCAGGAUGGGAGACCCAGAGAACUACAGGUCUGCCAGCCUCACCCCUUUCCCCAGGAUGACUCUGGAGCAAACACUCCUGGAAGACAUUUCCUAGCACCUGAGAUACACAAAGGUGAUUGAGAACAGAUGGUGUAAUGUGGCUUCACCAAGGGCAAACCUUUGAUGGCAAGACUGGCUCAACAGAGGAGGAAGAGCAAUGCUUGCUAUUUACCUUGACUUUAGGGAGGCCUUCAACAUGGACUCCCACAGUGCCCUUACAGUCAGUUUGGAGAAAUAUGCAGUGGAAAAAUGUACAAGGUAGAUGGAUGGGCUGUGCAGUAACAUGGGUGUUGAUCAGCAGUUCUAAGUUCACAUAAAAAGGUGGCUGGUUACUACUGGUGUUCCUCAGAGACCCAUACAGAGGCCAAAACUCUUACUGUCCUUAUUAAUGGUCUAGACAAGGUAACAGAGUGCACUCUCAGCACAUUUAGGAAUGAUACCUUUGGGGGACAUGGAUGUCUAUAGUCUGGAAGAUAAAACUGCCAUUCAGAGGGGCCUUUGUUGGUUUUUUUUUAACAUUGUUUUGUUUCUUAAGCCUAGGACUUUUUACACAAAAGCAUGAAGGUUGUAAAGAAAUUCUCUAAAGCAAAAGCAUUACAGAAUGAAAA